rnacentral:snRNA from 1 species
AUAAUUUAUUGGCCUUUUGGCUAAGAUCAGGUAUAGCAUCUGUUCUCAUCAGUUUAAUAAACUAUUUUUGUUAUUACUUUAUUUUCCUAAUCAGCCUUGCUAAAGACUGUUCUAUUAUACCAUCCUUUCUAGAGAAUUUAUCCUUGGUUUGGAUGACACUCA